rnacentral:rRNA from 1 species
AUUGAACGCUGGCGGCAUGCUUUACACAUGCAAGUCGAACGGCAGCGCGGGCUUCGGCCUGUCGGCGAGUGGCGAACGGGUGAGUAAUGCAUCGGAACGUGCCCAGUAGUGGGGGAUAGCCCGGCGAAAGCCGGAUUAAUACCGCAUACGACCUGAGGGUGAAAGCGGGGGACCGAAAGGCCUCGCGCUAUUGGAGCGGCCGAUGUCGGAUUAGCUAGUUGGUGGGGUAAAGGCUUACCAAGGCGACGAUCCGUAGCUGGUCUGAGAGGACGACCAGCCACACUGGGACUGAGACACGGCCCAGACUCCUACGGGCGGCAGCAGUGGGGAAUUUUGGACAAUGGGGGCAACCCUGAUCCAGCCAUGCCGCGUGCGGGAAGAAGGCCUUCGGGUUGUAAACCGCUUUUGUUCGGGAAGAAAUCCUCUGGGCUAAUACCCCGGGGGGAUGACGGUACCGGAAGAAUAAGCACCGGCUAACUACGUG